AGCGAACGCUGGCGGCAGGCCUAACACAUGCAAGUCGAACGGACCUUUCGGGGUUAGUGGCGGACGGGUGAGUAACACGUGGGAACGUGCCGUUAGGUGCGGAAUAGCUCCUGGAAACGGGGGGUAAUGCCGAAUGUGCACUUAGGGGGAAAGGUGUAUCGCCUUUAGAGCGGCCGGCGUCUGAUUAGCUAGUUGGUGAGGAAGUGGCUCACCAAGGCUACGAUCAGUAGCUGGUCUGAGUGGAUGACCAGCCACAUUGGGACUGAGACACGGCCCAAACUCCUACGGGAGGCAGCAGUGGGGAAUCUUGCGCAAUGGCGAAAGCCUGACGCAGCCAUGCCGCGUGGAUGAUGAAGGUCUUAGGAUUGUAAAAUCCUUUCACCGGUGAAGAUAAUGACUGUAGCCGGAGAAGAAGCCCCGGCUAACUUCGUGCCAGCCGCCGCAGUAA
rnacentral:rRNA from 1 species